GGGUCUGUAAAAUGGUGAAAACUUUGACUUGCUUUCUUCAGCCAACUGACCUUUUUUCUCUCUUCUACUUGUGUACGCUAAUCUAGAGAUCACUUAUUGAUUUUGCGAUAAGAGAAGUUUAUCGUUUUAGUAAUCAUCAGAUACGUAGAAUUUUCACCGAAGUUAAAAAAAAGAAAAAUUCUUUACUUUCUUGAUGAUGAAAUCUUUCUUCUGCGAUUCCACCCCAGCCAAAUGAAACUUCUUGUUUCCACUUUAAUGGUGCUUAACCACCCCAAGGCUCCGGCAAAGGUUCUAUAGCAGUACCAAACAACUUGGGUCAUCACAGAAUUAGACUUUCCAGCGGAAAUUUUUGUACCCAUCUGCUGAAUUUGGAUAAAGAUCAAACCGUUUUCAUCCCAUAUAAAUUUUUUAUCACAAUCCAAUACUAAAGCUGAAAACUUUCUUUCAAUUCUCGAAACAGCCAUGUUAAUUCAACUCAAGAAAAGCCACCACGUAUGCUUGGGUUUUAUCAUUUAUGCCUUCUUUUUUGCAUCUCAACUACAUGCCCUGAAAGUCCCUUUUCAUCCCUUGGAUGUCUUGCCAGUUUUACCAAGACGAGUCUCGUGGCCAAUUAUGAACUAUUUGAAUAGUGCAGUGGACCUUUUGCCUUCGUUCGUUGGGGCUGCUUCUUCCACCAACAAUAGCUUGGAGUGGAAAGGGGCUUGCUUUUACGAAAAUACUGCUUGGUUGGAGUUUAACAACAAGAGCGGCAGCGAAUUCGGUGGAGGCACACUUCAUAUCAAGGUUAGCAAGGCUCAUAGCUGGACAUGUAUGGAUCUGUAUAUUUUUGCAACUCCAUACCGUGUGACAUGGGACUAUUACUUUUUGUCUCGUGAACAUACCCUUGAGUUCGAAGAGUGGGAAUCAGAACAGGAGUAUGAAUAUGUCAGACACAAGGGAGUUGUUGCAAUCUUCCUCAUGAAAGCAGGGAUGCUAGGCACCCUUCAAGCUCUAUGGGAUGUCUUCCCAUUGUUUACAAAUACAGGAUGGGGAGAGAAUUCAAAUAUUGGGUUUUUAAAGAAGCAUAUGGGGGCUUCAUUUGAGCAACGUCCUCAACCAUGGUCAUGAAUGUUAGCGUUGAUGAUAUACAGUCUGGAGAUUUCCUUGCAGUAUCAAAGAUUCGGGGCCGAUGGGGUGCUUUUGAGACUCUGGAAAAAUGGGUGAGUGGAGCUUAUGCUGGUCAUUCAGCUGUUUGUUUGAGAGAUUCUGAAGGGAAGUUAUGGGUUGGUGAAUCAGGACAUGAGGAUAAGGAGGGGCAAGAUAUCAUUGCUAUCUUACCAUGGGAUGAAUGGUGGGAUUUUGAGUUGACAAAGGACGAUUCUAAUCCACAUAUUGCCUUGCUUCCUUUGCAUCCUCACUUCCGUGCCAAGUUCAAUGAGACUGCUGCUUGGGAGUAUGCACGUAGUAUGGAAGGAUUAUCUUAUGGAUUCCAUAACUUGAUUUUUAGCUGGAUAGACACGAUUGAAGGAAAUUAUCCACCACCCUUGGAUGCUCAUUUGGUUGCUUCUGUCAUGACUGUCUGGAGUCAAUUGCAGCCAACAUAUGCUGCUAACCUGUGGAAUGAGGCCUUGAACAAGAGACUUGGAACUCAGGGGCUUGGUCUUCCUGAAAUUCUAGUUGAAGUGGAGAAGCGUGGAUCAUCUUUUGCUGAACUGUUGGCUAUUCCAGAAAGGGAUAACUGGACAUACGUUGACGGGAAAUCUGCAUCAUGUGUUGCCUUUGUCCUUGAGAUGUAUAAAGAAGCAGGAAUAUUUGGUGAACUUGGAAACUCCAUUGAAGUUACUGAGUUUACGAUUAAAGAUGCUUACUCACUCAAUAUUUUUGAAAAUGAUUCAAGCCACUUGCCUCAGUGGUGCAAGGAUGGUGACACAGUGGAGCUUCCCUUUUGCCAGAUUCGAGGGAAAUACCGGAUGGAAUUGCCUGGAUACAACACCAUAAAUCCAUACCCUCAUAUGAAUGAAAGGUGCCCAUCUAUGCCUCCCGAAUAUUACAGACCAGAGGGUUGCUAAUGGGUUCUUAAGUUGAUACCCUCUGGAGGGUCCUUGCACAAAUUUUUUGGAGCCUUACCCUCGUGAUGCCCAUCUCUAUUCAUGCAUUGUUUGACUUGCUUGGGAUGGCACUUAGGGACAAAUAUUGUCCAAUUUACUAUUAGUGAACUAUUUUAGGUAAAUGAAAAUGUAGCUACAUUGUACAGUUGCAAAUGAAUGUAAAUUAGUGGUGCUCUUAUGUUUCCAUUAUGUUUUAAUGAUUUCUUUUUUGGGCUUGGGGAAGCAGUAUCCGUGAAAUAUGACAUAACUUGAGUAGGUUAUGAACUAUGUUGGUAUUUGGGGUGCCUGUAUUCUAGAACAAGUGGUCUUUCACAUAAUUUUAAUGCUUUUGUACAUGUUAUGAGGAUGCAUGCUAGAGAUUCAUGAGGCUCCACGACAUGUGACAGCUUCAUCGUAUGCACUGUAUAUGGUAUUCGGGAUUGUCUUGUUUGAUCGAUUAA